rnacentral:rRNA from 1 species
GUCCUCGGGCGUUUGAUCCUUCUACAGAUACGCUUGCCGAAACCUUAGUGGGCCACUUGAACUGUGGUGAUCUGCGACUCAAAAUAAGUGAUCUUAAACGCUGGUCUGCCGUUGUGCAGAUGACACCACUUUACUAUAGGAACAUUCAGCCACAGGCGAUGUGAUUUACCUGCAGCCAUCGCAGAUUUUUUGCGGUGGUUCACAGACUAAGUAGUGGUGGGCGCAGCACUCAGGGUCCUGCGUUUCAGAUAUAGCCGAGUUCCUGGGUUACUCCAGGAUUGAUUGCUGGUAAAAACUUUUACUCUGAGGACAAAUGUCUUUGUGCUUUAGAGAAAGUGAUUCCUGAGCAUGGAAACGUUCCGUAGGUGAACCUGCGGAAGGAUCAUUACCGAGUUUAGGGGGCCGUUGGUCCCCGAACCUCCAACCCUUGACUGAAACUACCGUGUUGCUUUGGCGGGCCCGCCCUGAGAACGGGCCGCCGGGGGCGUCGCUGCCUCUGGCCCGUGCCUGCCAGUAGCCACAAUCAACCCCUUUUAACCCUGACGUCUGAGUGUAAAUACAAAUAUAUGUAAAACUUUCAACAACGGAUCUCUUGGUUCUGGCAUCGAUGAAGAACGCAGCGAAAUGCGAUAAGUAAUGCGAAUUGCAGAAUUCCAGUGAGUCAUCGAAUCUUUGAACGCACAUUGCGCCCUUUGGUAUUCCGAAGGGCAUGCCUGUUCGAGCGUCAUUAUCACCCCUCAAGCCCCGUGCUUGGUGUUGGACGGCCGGUCGAGGUUCGCCCCGACCCCUCCUAAAGACAAUGACGGCGGCCUGUGGUUCCCCCGGUACACUGAGCUUUUCGCAGAGCACGUACCGGACGAGGGUGCCCGGGUCACGGUCCCCUCCUCCCCCGUGAGGAAAUAUUUUUCAAGGUUGACCUCGGAUCAGGUAGGAAUACGCGCUGAACUUAA